rnacentral:lncRNA from 1 species
GUUUUGGGUUGAUUUGGGCCCACUUUUUCCAAACUUAUCAUUAGGUCAAACAACUAUGUAGCAGUUACCAACGGUCCAAUUUUGAAAAAAGUUGACAAAUUUUGAAACAUGUGGAUGUAGUAAUUUUUUAUAUAUCGGGUUGGUCUAGGCCAGUGCAUUGUGGGCUAGCUUUGAUUUAGUACUGGGCUGGGUUGAUUGGAUACAAGGACUGGCCGGCCUGCCCCUGACCCGUC